rnacentral:sRNA from 1 species
UCUUGGCUUUCUUAUCCUCCAAGUAGCCUUUGAGUGGAGAUAUUCGCCCCUGUUGCUCCAGCCAACAGCCAGCCUGGCCUUGCAGUGAUACCGUUGCUUCGUUGUGACAUGGGCCAAGGUUAACCGGCUCUUGGUUUUGUUGGGCAGAUUGUUCUUGGCUUCAAUUUUUCUUUUUUCAUUUCCACACAGGUUUGAGGGCUGGGUCGAUAUAAAGGACUAUGUAGCGUCUUCACUAACUAAAUAAAAUAGUUGCGUCGGACAUUGUUAACUAUUCAACUCCAUCACGUUGCAACUUCGAGUUCUUAAUUCCGAGCAAAACUGGCCACUGGCACACCUCAAGAAGCCGGCAGACACCACUGGUGUCCGUUGUCAUUACUGUUGACGUUAAUAAUUAAUAAAGAGUCCCCGAGCUUGCCGCAUCUCCUCUCUUUAUCUUUACAUCGUGUAUCCUCGCCGUCGAUGUCUUUGCUCAAAUGAACUCUGGUGCAGUAAAGCGUGCAACAGUUCGUGCUUGGACGCUGACUGAUAGCUACAGCUUCAUCGCGACUUUCCUACGUCGUCACCACAACACCAAUGCUGAGCACCAACAACAUCAACCUCAGCUUCAGGCGCAACCUCAGCUCCAGCAGCCCCAGCAGCCGGCCUCGCAGUACAGCCAACGACGACAGCAGCAUGAUGGAGCCUACGGCAGCACCGGCCGCCACUUUCACGACUACUUCGUAACCCACCUCCCCUCCUCCUCUCUACACCCCGACUCCCGCGCUUCUCGAGGGCCUCACCACAAACUACCCCGGUCAGCUUCGACACCGCACACUGCCAGUAACGCACGAGGCCCAUCCCCGGCCACCGUGCAGCCACCCAUCGGUAUCUCGCGCGAAACAACCGUCGUCCGCAUCCCGCUGCGCAGCGCAAAACAUCAUUUCGGCGUCAACGUUGCGCGGGGAACACGCCCCACGAACGAAGAUACAUAUCAAGCCGGAGUGAUUGAUAUACCAGCCUUUGCGCGACGGGCUCCACGGUCGUUGACGAUUGGCGCACGGUCUGCUGCGGCUGCGGCAGCUAGAGGGGCGACUGUUACCGGUGGAAGAGCGGGUAAGGAGAAGGGAGAAGUGGACGACCAGAAUCAAGCGGCGGAGAGUGCGAGUGGGGACCCGCAGGUGUUUUACUUUGGGGUGUUUGACGGACAUGGUGGGAGUGAGUGUAGUGAGUUUCUGAGGGAUUAUUUGCAUGAGUAUGUGCAGGAUGCGGCUGUGGCGUUUGAGAUGCAAUCGAGUUUGAAGCGAGAGGUUGAGAUUGGGAAGAGAGUGCCGGAGAGGGGCCUUCAUAGCUCUGGUGAAAGGAUCAAGGGGGAAUCGGAGGAUCGUGGUAGGGGUUCAAUACACAGCACCAAGGAGAGAGAGUCAUUACAUCCCCAAGGUGACCUGCCGAUUAUCCAGCGGGCUAAUAGGCAGAAAAUCGACGAGCUGGAAAAAGAAUUGGUGCUCAACUGGAGACAUCUAGUAGGGGGCUACUACCGGCGAUUCCGCCCAUCGCAUUUCUAUAAUGGUGAGCACCACUCAUCCAGAACCGCUUCUCACCAUACCACAGCAUCCCCACAUGGCGGCGCUACGAUCGAAGAACUACUUGAAUACGCCUUUCUAAAGGCAGAUUUCGACUUCGUUUCCACCCAAGCUGCCAAGAAAGAUGAAAACGAUCUCGUCCACGCCGAGAAACCCCUCAAUGAAGCCGACAUCCUGCACAGCCCGAGCAGGCCCCGGCACCCUGUCAUUGGCGGACCCCAUCGCUUCAAAGGCGGCAGCACAGCCAGUAUCGCCAUGAUUUCCACCCCUAGCCCAAUGCCAUUCUGGCAUCCGUCAACCCCUUCCUCGCUCAUCGUUUCACACGUCGGCGACACCCGUAUCCUCCUCUGCUCCACCGCAACCGGCCUCGCCAUCUCGCUCACGACAGACCACCACCCAUCCGCUCUGAUCGAAGGUAGGCGACUACGCCGCUACGCAGCAACGUUCGUCACGGACUCUUUCGGCCAGGAGCGCAUGAGCGGGCUUGCCAACACGCGCGCGUUCGGAGACAUGCAAUCCAAGCGCAUCGGGGUCUCUGCGGAACCGGAGCUGCGGCGCGUGGAGAUGGGUCCAGCCGAGUAUUCAUUCUUGGUGCUGAUGACGGACGGGGUGAGCGGGGCGAUGUCUGAUCAAGAGGUGGUGGAUGUGAUCAAGGAGGCGCGGACGCCCGACGAGGGGGCGAGGGAUGUUGUCGGGUUUGCGACGGAG